rnacentral:misc_RNA from 1 species
CAAGCCUUGGAUCCAAUUAAGCUAAAUUGUUAGGAGAUCUUUUUUCAUUUCUUUCUCCAAAAAUAAAACUAUCUUUUGUGUUUUUGAUUCUCAUUAUGUUUCCUUAGUGUACUCUCAGAGAAUUGUGCUACAAGUAGCAGUUCUAGAUAAUCAGAUGCAGAAGCUUCUGGGAAUCUUCUUGUGCACUUCUUGAUGGCAACCUUGGUGCAUUCCCGCUGUUUUUGCAGUAGUAGAACCACCUGUUUGUGUGAGAAAUUAGUUUUUGAAGUUUCAUACAUUGGUUUUGGUGUGAGUGUGUGUGGAGGACAGUUUUCACCCAUGAAAGGCUGCAUCUUGUGGCAAACUUUUGUAUAGUAACUGGAAAAAUCUAAAACCGUGCCUUGCAGUUUUGCUGGGUAUUGGAUAAUCUUUUG